UACGUAGGGUGCAAGCGUUAAUCGGAAUUACUGGGUGUAAAGCGUGCGCAGGCGGUUGUGCAAGACCGAUGUGAAAUCCCCGGGCUUAACCUGGGAAUGGCAUUGGUGACUGCACGGCUAGAGUGUGUCAGAGGGGGGUAGAAUUCCACGUGUAGCAGUGAAAUGCGUAGAGAUGUGGAGGAAUACCGAUGGCGAAGGCAGCCCCCUGGGAUAACACUGACGCUCAUGCACGAAAGCGUGGGGAGCAAACAGG
rnacentral:rRNA from 1 species